AUGUCCUGCCAUAUAUUUAAUUAUAUUAGGCUACUUUUACAUAAGCGGUUCACCAGCUGACCAAGCCUAGUCAGAAGUCCACCAAUUUGACCACCAGCUUAGGCCUACUCUAGGCCUGCCAACGUCACCAGCUUUAACCAGCUUUGUCCAACUAGAGACCAGCUAUGGCCAGGUAGAAGUGUCGAAAACACGGUUUAAGCCAUUCUAAACCAUCUUUAAAUCCAAGCGGGUUUUAGCUGGAAUUUUCAGCAGGACUACAGAAAUGGUUUCAUGGGUGGAGGUCAGCCUAUCUGUUUUCAAACCGCGUCACAACCACAUCGCAACACAUGCAGACUAAUAGGCUAUUUUACCAUCAAUUACAGCAAAGAUCAGACCGAGCGUGCCCAGGACCAUGCAGGAAGUCUCCAUUUUUGUACUCCGAACCUUCCGUAGACGUGUAGCUACCAGCGUUUUUCGUUCAGUCCCUCACUUUGCCUGGGUCCAGACGUUUGAAUCCUGCCCACUGCAGAUUCAGAUGGAAAUGGAGUGUAACGAGUUGAUAAUUUUGUCUGAUAUCAGGCACUGGGAACGAGUGGCUUAUUCCAACCAGUCGCUUGCACGGUUUCUUAUUUCGAUUUCCCUGAAACGAAAACGAAACUGUCGCUAGAGAAAGCCAGUGGAAUGAUGGAAGACCGAGAUGUUUGUAGUGUUUCGCCCUUUGAAAUUCUUAGACGCUUAAAUUGGCGUUAUUGGUCAGUUUGUUUCCACAGCAUAAAUUAAACUGUUGAUUGGUCAGAAGUAAUGGGAGGGGACAGUGUUAUCUAAAAUAAGGGUAGCCUAUAUCGAUUGUUCCAAGGAAGGACAAAGUUAUAUAGCCCGCAAUUUUCUGUGUAUGAAAAUUACUAGGCAUAGCUAGACCUAUUACCACAGAUAAUGCGCAUUUAUGGAAAUUCACGCUUGACUUUUAAUUAGGCUACUGUAUUGAUAAGCUGAUCCACUGUACUCUCUAUUUCUACUUCUAUCGAGGGAAACAUUAGCUCUGAGCAAUUAUUAAUAACAGACGAUGUUUUACUAUCCAAACGUUUUACAAUACCGCACAGGCUGUUUCUCUACUGUAUGGUUGGCAGCUACAAAAGCUAUCAAAAUUUCUCGGAGAGACUAUCUCAAAGUCAACGUUCAACGCACAUGCGAUGACAUCAUGGAUUACGUGCUGGUGCGGGCCCCGCCUCUCCAGCCGGGACUUCCCCGCCCCCGUUUCUCCCUCUACCUGUCCUUCCAGCUGCAGUAUGGCGUCAUCAUCGUCUACCACCGCCAAUGUGCCCUUUUACUGGAGGAGAUCCAGCACACCAUAGACAGACUGCUGCGCUCCGCCAAGACGCUCAAAAUUGACCUGGUGGAGCCCGACAGGCCGGCCCUAACUGUUCCUGAUGGUCUGUCCAUGUUGGAGGAAUGUGAGAGGGCCCAGGACCCCUUCUUUGGAGUGAUGGAGUACGCGAUGCCCAGCCCCAGUACGAUCAUGCAGCAGUGGCAGGUACCUGAAGAAACAUCCCCCCAGCGCCCCCUGGUGGAAAGACUUGGAACACCACAGAGGGACCGCAUCACUGCAUCCCCUGAGUCUAUCACUCUGGUAGACAGGGAGCUCGUUGUUACUCCUGCAGCAGAGUUUGAAGGGGCGGACCUGCCAGAGGUCACGCCCAGGCAUAUGGACAUAAUUGACAUGCUGAUGGAGCAGCAGGACCAGUUUCCUGAAGAAGUGGAGGAGAGAGAGGAAGUGAGGGAGGCAGAGAUAUCGAGGGAACAGCAGCAGGCGGCAGUCUCCGCGUUGCAGCUGGGGGUCACCGCGGUGACUGCCGAGGAUCUCACCUUGCUGCCGGAGAGGGAGGCGGAGACGCCUGCGCCGGCCCCGCCCUCGACCCCGCCCCUGCCCCCGCCCCCGCUGGAGACCACCCCGGUGUCUGUCAUUCCACUGCCCUCGUCCCCUGAGGGAGAGAGGGAGGGGGAGACGGAGGAGAGACGGAGGCGGAAGGAGAGAGGGAGGGACAGUCCUGGUCUGGAGCCAGAGCCCGCAGCUCCACCAAAGAAACCGCGGCGGCGGCGGCAGCUGCUCUUCAUCGACGAGCAGACUCAGAUUCCCUCAGAGGAGCUGCAGGAGGCGAUACAGGAUCCACUGACUGAGACCCAGACCCUGGUACCACACUGACCCUCUCAGACCCAGGCCCUGGUACCACACUGACCCUCUCAGACCCAGGCCCUGGUACCACACUGACCCGCUCAGACCCAGGCCCUGGUACCACACUGACCCUCUCAGACCCAGGCCCUGGUACCACACUGACCCGCUCAGACCCAGACCCUGGUACCACAGUGACACACUCAGACCCAGGCCCUGGUACCACACUGACCCUCUCAGACCCAGGCCCUGGUACCACACUGACCCUCUCAGACCCAGGCCCUGGUACCACACUGACCCUCUCAGACCCAGGCCCUGGUACCACACUGACCCGCUCAGACCCAGGCCCUGGUACCACACUGACCCUCUCAGACCCAGGCCCUGCUACCACACUGACACACUCAGACCCAGGCCCUGGUACCACACUGACCCACUCAGACCCAGGCCCUGGUACCAGGGUUCGUACGGUCAUGAAAAACCUGGAAAAGUCAUUGAAAUUUAAAAUGCAAUUUCCAGGCCCUGGAAAAGUUAUGGAAAAUAAUAUUUUUUGAAAAGUUUUGGAAAAGUAAUGGAAACACAGCUAAAGUUGCAUCAAAUAUAAUUACUAAUGAAUCCAAUCAUACAAAUAGUAUGUAUAGUAAUAAAACGUAAAUUGGCACGUAACCUUCGCGGUAUUUUGGUGGUGUGAGAAGUUAAUUCGGUCUGGCUCAGUCUGUUUACAGGCACGCUUCUGCUAAUGUAGCAGUUAGUAAACGUAGGCCCUACUGUGCCGACAAUAUGCCAGGGAAGUGCAGCUUCAAUAAUAUAUCAGGGCUCGAAAUUAACUUUUUUACUUCGUAGCACUGGUGCUCGCAACUUCAAAAAGUUUGGAGCACCCACCAAAAAUAUAAGGAGCACCAACAAUAUAUGCAAUAGAUUGUUUUGAUUGAUAAAAAACGACAAUAUAACAGUACGGUUUACAAGUAACAGUUAAACUGUCACGCCUAAAAUGUGUCGACUCUUCAAGGAAUUGCGUGUUAUGCAUUCAAACGACAAAGCGCUUCUGGUCACAUUAAUACCGCUAAUUAAAUCAAUCGCCAGUAAACUGCAUCGGAGAAAUUAGCUGUUUCAACCGGGUCGCUUCACAAAACAGUAGCCUACGUUAACGUUUCAAAAAAAAAUGCCGUAAUCGUUCGCUUCAGCUUUUCAGCUUUCGAUAACGCUAAUAAAUUGAACAUAAACUUUUGUCUUCAGGUAACAUUAGUUACCGCGUUAGCUCUCUGUGUCGCGUGACAGUGGAGUGAUCGAAGGCUAAUAUUAACCAAUUUAAAAUCAGCAUUAAAGGUAAGAAUGUCAAGCUCACGAUUGGUUAGAAGGGUCAACUUCUAUGGAAAUUCAGGUAAAGGUUGAGGAGAAGUCAUGGAAAAGUCAUUGAAAAUCAUUGGUGAAAAAGUGUAUGAACCCUGUGGUACCACACUGACCGGCUCAGACCCAGUCCCUGGUACUACACUGACACACACUGACAGGCCCUGCUACCACACCGCAUGAUUAGACUAAAAUACACACUAAUACAGUGAUGGAUUUAUGCAAGCACAAAUUCACAUAUGACACAGUUAAUGACAUUCUGGAGGAUAUACAUCAGAUCACAUGAUUACUGGCAUGCAUGAUAGAUCUCAGUCUCACUCUCUGAAACCAAGCUGUGUAUGCGUGUGCAUGUGUGUGUGUGUGUGUGUGUGUGUGUGUGUAUGUGUCAGGAGUUGUUUGAGCCUCCCUCCAGAAGAAGUGUCUCUCCUGUGGAGCUCCUGAGCAAUCCCUGCACUGGUUGCCAGAGAGUUAGUGGAGUCAGAACGGCCUCAGCCUGAAGCGUCAGGU